UGCAUAUCAAAAAGCGGAGGAAAAGAAACCAACAGGGAUUGCCUUAGUAGCGGCGAGUGAAGCGGCAAAAGCUCAAAUUUGAAAUCUGGCUCUUUCAGAGUCCGAGUUGUAAUUUGAAGAAGGUAUCUUUGGGUCUGGCUCUUGUCUAUGUUUCUUGGAACAGAACGUCACAGAGGGUGAGAAUCCCGUGCGAUGAGAUGAUCCAGGCCUAUGUAAAGUUCCUUCGAAGAGUCGAGUUGUUUGGGAAUGCAGCUCUAAGUGGGUGGUAAAUUCCAUCUAAAGCUAAAUAUUGGCGAGAGACCGAUAGCGAACAAGUACAGUGAUGGAAAGAUGAAAAGAACUUUGAAAAGAGAGUGAAAAAGUACGUGAAAUUGUUGAAAGGGAAGGGCUUGAGAUCAGACUUGGUAUUUUGUAUGUUACUUCUUCGGGGGUGGCCUCUACAGUUUAUCGGGCCAGCAUCAGUUUGGGCGGUAGGAGAAUUGCGUUGGAAUGUGGCACGGCUUCGGUUGUGUGUUAUAGCCUUCGUCGAUACUGCCAGCCUAGACUGAGGACUGCGGUUUAUACCUAGGAUGUUGGCAUAAUGAUCUUAAGUCGCCCGUCUUGAACCACGGACCC
rnacentral:rRNA from 1 species